CUGGUGCCAGCAGCCGCGGUAAUUCCAGCUCCAAUAGCGUAUAUUAAAGUUGUUGCAGUUAAAAAGCUCGUAGUUGAAUUUCGGGACUAAUAUGUUGGUCGUGCCUCGGUACGUACUGAUAUUUUUGGUUUCUCCCUUCUGACGAACCUUGAUGUCAUUAAUUUGGUGUCUUGGGAAAUCAGGACUGUUACUUUGAAAAAAUUAGAGUGUUUAAAGCAGGCUCACGCUUGAAUACAUUAGCAUGGAAUAAUGAAAUAGGACGUUUGAUUCUAUUUUGUUAGGUUUCUAGGAUCGACGUAAUGAUUAAUAGGGAUAGUUGGGGGCAUUAGUAUUCAAUUGUCAGAGGUGAAAUUCUUGGAUUUAUUGAAGACUAAACUACUGCGAAAGCAUUUGCCAAGGAUGUUUUCAUUAAUCAAGAACGAAAGUUAGGGGGAUCGAAGACGAUCAGAUACCGUCGUAGUCUUAACCAUAAACUAUGCCGACUAGGGAUCGGAUGAUGUUAAUUUUUUAAUGACUCAUUCGGCGCCUUACG
rnacentral:rRNA from 1 species